AUGACCAGUGAUGAUGACUGGAAGCUUGGCAGUCAAGGAUGAAGAAAAUGUGUCUGAAACUGGGAGUUCCUG
rnacentral:snoRNA from 1 species